CGUGUAACCGUUUGUUUAUGCUGAAAAUCCGUAAAAAAACAUGCUACUUGAUCACUUCAAAAUUACACUUUUUUAUCCAAUCAUAUUUUUCAGAUACUACCUUAUUGUUCUUUCUGGUCAAGGUGAAUUAGCCACUAAGCCAAUGAGAAAUCCAAUUUUGUUACCUGAGAAUAGGGCGACAUCGUACGAUUCGAGGGUUUGUGAGGUGAAUGACUGCGGGGCUUAUGUUGCGAUCGAACGAUGGCACGUCCAUUGGACCGAGAUAAUACACAUGUUUACCGUAGCUCGUAACGCACAUUUAACAAACUACUUGCUUCUACCCUACUUUAUCACCUAAAAAUAAAAAUGUGUCAACAUGUGCACGUCUACUAUACCUUCUACUAUUUGUUCGGUAAACCACCAACCGUGCCUCCUUAUACGUCUUCUCCAAACAUGUAAUUGGAUUCGAACAACUUUAGCUCGACAAGUCGUUUAGCUUACGAACAUCCAAAAGCUUAUCUAAUGACCUAACUAACUCGCUCUUUUUGGUCGCAUGACUUUGCAUACGAUUGUUUAGUAAUAAAAACAAUAAUCCUUUUCACACCUGUUUUUACCCAUGGGAAAGCGGUUCCCAAAGUUUGUCACUUACUCCCAUAUUCUAAUCUAGAUUAAAACACAUUUAGCUGCGAACAUGGCACACCGGUUAAUACCCAGCCAUAGUUGAAAUUAGUAGACAAAUUGACUGAGUAUCUCUUAUCAAAAGUCAAUACACAUUUUGUUUGCGCUGACAUUAAACAUCGUUGCUCUUAUGAAUGCUAUGUGUGUGUGUGUGUGUAUGUGGAAAUGUGUUAGUCAGUCAGUGUUUGCUUGAAAUUCGCUGUGUGAAAAUAAUAAAGUGAAAAAUAAAUAAAAGGUUGUAAAACCGAAUUCGUACAGUAAGGUGAGCGCCGACAAAAGCUCUUGAGAAAAAAAA
rnacentral:lncRNA from 1 species